rnacentral:rRNA from 1 species
GUCCACGCCGUAAACGAUGGGUGCUAGGUGUCGCGGGCUUUGACCCCUGCGGUGCCGCAGCUAACGCAUUAAGCACCCCGCCUGGGAAGUACGGCCGCAAGGCUAAAACUCAAAGGAAUUGACGGGGGCCCCGCACAAGCGGUGGAGCAUGUGGUUUAAUUCGACGCAACGCGAAGAACCUUACCUGGGCUAGAAAACACAGAAACCUGGUUGAAAAGUCGGGGUGCUCUUCGGAGAAUCUGUGGUUAGGUGCUGCAUGGCUGUCGU